CUGCUCCUCUUCUGUUCUAUGGGUUCAUGUCCUCUUUCAACUUUUACCCUGAACCCUGCCCCUUCCCAGUUUCUAUGGUCUGCUCCACCUACUGCCUGGGCCAAUGGGAGAGCAGAAGAGGCCUGUGUGAGGAAGAAGAGGUGGAAAAGCCUUCACACCUCAGGCCAGCAUUGCAGCUACCCAGAGCUCUAGGCAGCAGCUUCUCAACGCCACGGGGUGGGGAGCAUCUGGCUUCCUGUCUGCUGGGGAUGCUAGGGUGGUCACGGUUUCUGUCAGCUGACCUUCCAGCUUGCCUCCCAGUGUUUACCCUAUCUCUCACAGACUCCUCAUUGUGUCCAUACCACCACCACCAUUCCCAGACAUACCUCAUCAGCAGCUCUGUGCCUCUAUUCUCCUACCAACAGAAUCUGGCAGACGGUGGUUCAGGACUUGGGUUUUGGACCCAGAACCUAUGACUUACUGCUUUAAGCUUCCAUCUCCUCUUUUCUAAAAUGGGCUUCCUGCUUUCCGAAAGCAAGCUCCAUCUGUGACAUGGAAACUCUGAUGUCCCUUUCUCAGCUUUGCUCCGUCUUGUGAAAUGUUUAUAUAACGUCUCAGCACAGGACCCAAGAGCUGAACUCUUCCAGACUCCUUGCUUGACGGCCUCUCCUCUGAAAGAACUGAUGGACAGAUGAGGCUGGCUCUGAGCUCAGAAUUCCAGGCACAGAUUUCCCUAGAAAGGCUUGUGAUGUACACGUUUGCUGUACAGAUGUGCUGCUGUGAUUCAAGAGGCAAAAAGACUCAGUCACGAUUGAGCAUUACAGAGAUGAUGAAGCGCUCCAUGAGAGGCCACCAUGUCACCUUCUCAGAGUGACUCAUCCUAUAACUAGGCUCACUUCUGAUUGUCUCAGGGGGGAACACUUUUUAGUGAGCCCUGUCGUCACUGGGUUGGUGAAAUCGCUGGCAAUAUUUUCUGAAAAUUACAUUUAAGCCGUAGAAUUUCAAGUUGGCAUUGAUGGGAACUGACAUUUACUCUAGGAAUAUUCCUGAAUCUUUAUAUCAGGGUCCUAUCAGUCUAAAACCUUUCCUGUAAAUAAAACUUUAUUUAAAUAUAAAUGUCACACUUUGAUUAUGAGAGCCCUUGCUGACUUUCUUGCUAUUGUAGAUGGCAGAGUUGAACAGCAGUGAUUGAACUGAUAUGACCUUCAAAGCCCAAGAUAUUUAUUAUAUAACU